rnacentral:rRNA from 1 species
UAUCCUGUCUGAAUAUGGGGGGACCAUCCUCCAAGGCUAAAUACUCCUGACUGACCGAUAGUGAACCAGUACCGUGAGGGAAAGGCGAAAAGAACCCCGGCGAGGGGAGUGAAAAAGAACCUGAAACCGUGUACGUACAAGCAGUGGGAGCCCCACCACCAAAGCAUUCUCUGGUGUUGAAGGCCCUGCAAAGCAGCAUCGCGGUGGCGGAGCGUCGUUUGCGACGCCCAACACACAAAACAAGCGGUGAGUGCUUUGGGGUGGGGUGACUGCGUACCUUUUGUAUAAUGGGUCAGCGACUUAUAUUCUGUAGCAAGGUUAACCGAAUAGGGGAGCCGGAGGGAAACCGAGUCUUAAUUGGGCGUUAAGUUGCAGGGUAUAGACCCGAAACCCGGUGAUCUAGCCAUGGGCAGGUUGAAGGUUGGGUAACACUAACUGGAGGACCGAACCGACUAAUGUUGAAAAAUUAGCGGAUGACCUGUGGCUGGGGGUGAAAGGCCAAUCAAACCGGGAGAUAGCUGGUUCUCCCCGAAAGCUAUUUAGGUAGCGCCUCGUGAAUUCAUCUCCGGGGGUAGAGCACUGUUUCGGCUAGGGGGCCAUCCCGGCUUACCAACCCGAUGCAAACUGCGAAUACCGGAGAAUGUUAUCACGGGAGACACACGGCGGGUGCUAACGUCCGUCGUGAAGAGGGAAACAACCCAGACCGCCAGCUAAGGUCCCAAAGUCAUGGUUAAGUGGGAAACGAUGUGGGAAGGCCCAGACAGCCAGGAUGUUGGCUUAGAAGCAGCCAUCAUUUAAAGAAAGCGUAAUAGCUCACUGGUCGAGUCGGCCUGCGCGGAAGAUGUAACGGGGCUAAACCAU